GACGAACGCUGGCGGCGUGCUUAACACAUGCAAGUCGAACGAAGUGGCGCACGGGUGAGUAACGCGUAAUCAACCUGCCCUUCAGAGGGGGACAACAGUUGGAAACGCCUGCUAAUACCGCAUACUUAAGGCGGAGUUUGCGUCUGAUUAGCUAGUUGUCGGGGUAACGGCCCACCAAUGCGAGGCUCAGUAGCCGGUCUGGAAGGAUUGACGGCCACAUUGGGACUGAGACACGGCCCAGACUCCUACGGGAGGCAGCAGUGGGGAAUCUUCCGCAAUGGACGAAAGUCUGACGGAGCAACGCCGCGGGAGUGAUGACGGCCUUCGGGUUGUAAAGCUCUGUUAAUCGGGACGCGGUACCGGAAGGGAAAGCAACGGCUAACUACGUGCCAGCAGCCGCGGUAAUUC
rnacentral:rRNA from 1 species